rnacentral:tRNA from 1 species
GGGGAAUUUAGCUCAAUGGUAGAGCGCUCGCUUAGCAUGCGAGAAGUAGUGGGAUCGUGCCCACAUUCUCCA